GCCCCGCAAAGAUUCUAUUCUCAAAUUAAACUCAUUAACCUCAAUAAAUUGUUUAACCCAUGUCCUGCGUUUCUUGUCUGGGUAUCUCUGCUUCUCUUCUUCUCCAUUUCUGCUUUCUUCUUCGCAGCCCGAAGCUGUCCCCUCUGCAUUGACUCUAAAAGAAAAUCAGUAAUAGGAAUUUCUAGUUUAACCUUCUGAUUCAGUUGUCUAAUAUGUGGAUUUUGACCAGGAAAUUGAAUAAUUCCCAUUUCAAUGGCUAAGGAGGCCAUCUGUGAAUUCUUGUCCUACCCUGUCACGGCUAUGGAGGCCGUUUGUGAACUCUCUACCCGUCCUGUCACGGCUAUGGAGGCCGUCUGUGAACUCACUUCCCGUCCUGUCACGACUAUGGAGGCUGUUUGUGAGCUCUUUGCCUGUCCUGUCACGGCUAUAGAGGCCAUUUGUGAACUCUCUGCUCGUCCUGUCACGGCUAUAGAGGCCGUUUGUGAAAGAACUGUCUGUCCCAUCCAUGAGACUGUAUAUGCUCUGUCUGUCUCUUGUGUCUCAGUUUUCCGCAGGUCCCAGUCCCUACCAGGGAGGGCUCCUGUUCCCGAGUUAAGCCCAUGGAGUGCUUCUGUUCCCGAGUUAAGCCCAGGGAGGGCUCCUGUUCCCGAGUUAAACCCAGGGAGGGCUCCUGUUCCCGAGUAUAGUCCAUGGAGGACUCCUGUUUCCCCGUCUCCAGUGUCGGCUCCAGCCCCGGAGCUCACUCCAGUGUCGGCUCCAGCCCCAAGACUCACUCCAGUGCCAGCUUCUCGAAAUCGCUUUGCUGUGCCUGCUCCUCCAGAGCACCCUCCAGUGCCAGCACCACGUAAGCGCUAUCCUGAUCCCCAGUACCACCCUGGAAGGGCUCCAGAUCCUCAGUUCCGCCCAGGAAGGGUUCAUGUCCCUGAGUUAGGCCCAGGGUGGGCUCCUGUUCUGUCUGAUCCGCCAUGGAGGUCUUCUGCUCCGCCCUGGUGGGCUCCUGUUCCGUCUGUUCCACCUUGGUGUCCUGCUCUGCCGGCUUUGCCUCAGUUCCCAGUAUCUCCAUUUCCACAUGGACCUGGCCCACUGUCCCUCCCCCUGUUCCGCCUCCGCUCCACCACCCUCCUGGAUGGUAUUGUGUUGGGAGCGUCUGGAAGCUGCUCCUUGGGAGGGGCUCUGUCACGAAUCCGGUCCGUGGGCUUCAGGCCGA
rnacentral:lncRNA from 1 species